CGUGUAGCUCAGCCGGUAGAGCAGCGCACUCGUAACGCGAAGGUCGCAGGUUCGAUUCCUGUCUCGG
rnacentral:tRNA from 1 species